CGGUGAGGGAAACCUGCCUUGGAGAGGGGGAAUAAACACUCCGAAAGGAGUGCUAAUACCGCAUGAUGCAGUUGGGUCGCAUGGCUCUGACUGCCAAAGAUUUAUCGCUCUGAGAUGGCCUCGCGUCUGAUUAGCUAGUAGGCGGGGUAACGGCCCACCUAGGCGACGAUCAGUAGCCGGACUGAGAGGUUGACCGGCCACAUUGGGACUGAGACACGGCCCAG
rnacentral:rRNA from 1 species